rnacentral:rRNA from 1 species
UUUUAGUUUGCUUUCCCGAAACUAAGUGAGCUACUUUAAAAUAGCCCAAGAGCCAACCCGUCUCUGUUGCAAAAGAGUGGGAAAAUUUUUAAGUAGGGGUGAUAUACCUAUCGAACUUAGAGAUAGCUGGUUUUUUAAGAAAAGGAUUUCAGUUCUAUUUUAAACUUUUAUGUUAAUCAAAAAUAUACUUGAGUUUAAAAGUUAUUCAAAUAAGGCACAGCUUAUUUGAGACAGGGUACAACCUAAAGCCCAGGGUACGACAAACAAAUUUUGAUAAGUGGGCCUAAAAGCAGCCAUCUUUCAGAAAGCGUCAAAGCUUAGUAACACUAUUUAUUUAAUAACUACACUUACUUCUAACCCUCACCCGCUAUUAAAAAACCCCAUAAAACUAUGGGAGCUAUUAUGCUAGAACAAGUAACAAGAAAUAGAUUUUCUCCAAAAUGUAAGCUUAAGCCAUAAUAGACACCCUAAUGGCAAUUAACACUUAUAAAUUUAUUGUAACAACCUCAACAAGA